rnacentral:lncRNA from 1 species
AUGCGCAGAAUUUGGCAGCAGCUGGCAUUUGUGCUGCAUGACGAGCCCCCUGGCCCUGGAGCGCAUCGAAGCCUUUGCAAAACUUCCAGUCCCCCAGCAUGUGCUGACCUCCUACGCGUCGGUGCCUUGGCCACCGGGACAGUAAGCGCAGGACGACGGCGAUGCAGUUUUGGCCAAUGGUCCCCCCCUCCACUACGCACAGAGGCAGCGAGCCUCGCGCCGAGGAGCCUCAGCUCCAGAUCCGGAUGGCCGAGGACACAGUCUCAUCUCCGCCCCCUCACGAGCUCUGUGACCUCAGGCAAAACAUUUUGGCACGACCACCCCAGAGCUGAAGCGCCCUUCCCACGGAAUCUCCACAGCACGCACUAAGGUUGGGUGAGUCCACCGGGUGAAGCCAAUUUUGAUAACUUGUAGUGCCUACAGCUUCAGUUUGGGAAAAUGAAAAAGUUCUACAAAGGAACAAUGGUGUUGGUUACACAAAAUGAGAAUGUACUUAGUGUCAAUGAACUGUACACUUAAAAACAGUUAAAAUGGUAACUUUUUACAUUAUAUAUACUUUACCACAAUAAGAAAAGGGGGUUGGUUAUUUGGUUAAGAUGAAGCCUGCCAGCACUGGCCAUUGUAAAAUGUCUUUUCCCAUUUGUAAUUAACAACCAGCUUGUGAGUGGUACUUUGAGAAUGUGCAAAUAUCCUAUUUCCCAAAACAAUUCCCAGCAAGGAUUUUAGCAUUAACAGGGAGUGCUUUGUUCAAAAGUUACCUGAAUUCUUUAUUCUAUAGGCUUAUAUGAUUAACUAGAUAUAUAGUUUACAUUCAUUUGAUUGUUUUCAAAAUUUUUACCAGCUUUUAAUUUUAUUUCAUUAGUAUGUAAAAAAUUCACAUAUUUCAGAAGUCAAAAUGAUAUUUUUAAUGUUUAUUUAUUUUUUUACUCUCUUAUAUUAGUCACCACACAGUACACCAUUAGGUUUUGAUGUAGUGUUCCAUGAUUCAUUGUUUGUGUAUAACACCCGGUGCUCCGUGCAAUCCGUGCGCUCCUUAAUACCCACCACCAGGCUCACCCAUCCCCCACCCCUCCCUUCUAAAACCCAGUUUGUUGCCUGGAGUCCACAGUCCCUCAUGGUUCGUCUCCCUCUCCGCUUCCCCCCUUCAUGUUUCCCUUCGUUUUUCUAAUGUCCUCCAUGCUAUUUGUUAUGCUCCACAAAUAAAUGAAACCAUAUGAUAAUUGACUCUCUCUGCUUGACUUAUUUCACUCAGCAUCAUCCCUUGCAUCAACAUGGUUGGGACUGGAGGAGAUUAUGCUAAAAUUAUACUUUUUUAAAGACUCAUUCUCAUUUCCAUCCCUUCCACUUCAUUCUCAACCACAUCCUAUAGUAAUCAUUUUCAUUAGUUUUGGUUUAUGCUUUCUGUGUUUCUCUUUGUAAAAAUAAACACACAGUGGGACGUCUGGGUGGCUCAGUCAGUUAAGAGCCUCCCUUCAACUCAGGUCUCGAUCCCAGGGUCCUGGGAUCGAGUCCUGUAUCGGGCUCCUUGUUCAAUGGGAAGCCUGCUUCUCUCUCUACCUCUGCCUGUCACUUCCCCUGCUGUGCAAGCUCUCUCUCUCUCUCUGUCUGACAAAUAAAUAUAUAAUCCUUAAAACAUAAAUAAACACACAGACUCUUUAUACCUUGCUUUCUUUUUCCUUUUCCGUUUCUUUUUUACUUAACAAUAUAUCCUGGAAUUCACUCUUAAAAAUCACUUCUUGGAGGUCUUCCUCAUUUUUGUACAACUUUAUUGUUUUCUAUUGCAUGGAGAUACUCGUUACGUCACAGGUCUGGUAUGGAUAAGCCUUUGGGUAGUAAGUACCAUUUUGCUAUCACCGGGAGUCCUGCAGUGCAUAACCUCACACAUAUACUGUUUCCUGUCUGUUGGGGGGUCUCUUCGGGGUAAAUUCCUAGAAAGGGGAUUUCUAGGUCAAAGAAAUGAAUAUGUGGUUUUGUUCAAUUUUGCCACAUUUCCUCCUAUAGGUCCUGUGCCAUUUUGCUACUCACAUAAGCAAUGUAUGAGCGUGUUUUCCUCACAGCCUAGUCAAGCCUUGAACACCUGCCAUGUGACAGGCAAGAAGUAAUACUUCAGAUAGUGUUCAUUUGCAUUCCUCAUAUUAAGGAAAUUGGGCAUC